GACCCUGGAGACAGACAUGGCACCUGUGUUUAUUUCUCUGAUGUAUUGCCUGUUGAUUAAAGUCUUUCCUGAUGUAGAUAUGUGUAUUUAUGAACACAGUUGUGUCGAUGGAGGCUAUUCUUCAUGAUAUAAGAUAGCCAAGGUGACAUACUGUUUUUGAAGAUGCAGCUCGUCUCCAUUGUAAUACUGUGUAUGUAUGUAGCCACAUCAUUUCCAGAUUAAACUACUGUGUGGAGAACCAUCAGUGGCAGGUGUCUAUACUGCCCUCUCUUGGGACAGAUUAAUAGAUCAUACUGUGCCAUUAUAAUUCCCACUGUCGUUGUUAAUCAGAAUGUCUGUCUACAUCCAUGAUAUACCAGUUUUUUAAAUACAAUAACUACCCAGUCAUCAGUUUUUCAGAUUUAAGAUCGUUCUAUUUUCCUGCAGCAGCUUUUAAUUCGGGUUGUAAUUCUUGAAGAUGUCUGUUUUGCUUUGUGGUGCCCUGCAAACAUAACAUAUUUCUCCUGCACCUCCUUGAGGUUGGGGUUAGUGUCCUUCGGGACGUUUUAAAAUAUAAUUUCCCUCCAACUGGUUUGACCUGUGAUGUUGAGACGUCUCCGCAGCGACAGGACGGAGGGAACAGACACGUUGCAUAUCCUGUUUCUGUGCGUCAGUUCAGUUGGUGCUGCUAACGUGACCUGGAAACUCACUGCUGGACAACAUGACUUCCUGACAGCUUCGUUCAACGGCUGCGUGUAACAGAACAACCGGAACAGAACAGAGCUGAAGAUUAGAUGGACAGGUUUGCAGGUGACAUACUGAGCGGUGGCCGGGCGUUGCUAGGCGAGGACAGCUCGGUCAUGGCCCGCAUGCAGAAGAAGUUUUGGAAGACGAAGCAGGUUCUGAUCAAGGCCACAGGGAAGAAGGAGGAUGAGUACGUGGUGGCUUCUGAUGCCGACCUCGACGCCAAGCUGGAGUUGUUCCACUCGGUACAGACCACCUCCACUG